GGCCACUCUAAUUCAGAGGUGCCCUAAUCCAGGCAGGUUUUGAAGGCCCUCAUUCAUUCAGAGGUGCCCUAAUCCAGGCAGGUUUUGAAGGGCCUCAUUCAUUCAGAGGUGCCCUAAUCCAGGCAGGUUUUGAAGGCCCUCACUAAUUCAGAGGUGCCCUAAUCCAGGCAGGUUUUCAAGGGCCUCACUAAUUCAGAGGUGCCCUAAUCCAGGCAGGUUUUGAAUUCUGCAUCAGCAUUCCCUUGGAGCUAGGAUCAAAAUGAGAUAAAAUAAAAAUUAAUGAGUAUAAAAAGGCAUGAGCACAUGUGGGGUGCAGGCACAGUUCCCACAACUCUUCUGCAGUUACUGGGGUCUACCCUGGCAGGUUUUGAAGGACCUCAUUCAUUCAGAGGUGCCCUAAUCCAGGCAGGUUUUGAAGGGCCUCACUAAUUCAGAGGUGCCCUAAUCCAGGCAGGUUUUGAAAGGCCUCAUUCAUUCAGAGGUGCCUUAAUCCAGGCAGGUUUUGAAGGGCCUCAUUCAUUCAGAGGUGCCUUAAUUAGGCAGGUUUUGAAGGGCCUCAUUCAUUCAGAGGUGCCCUAAUCCAGGCAGGUUUUGA